AACUGCGGCGUGGAAAACCUGUAUUUUCUUUCUUUCUUUCUUCCUUUCUUUCCUCUCCCCCUAUAUGGUGUUUGGCUCUGACGUGGAAUAAUCCUGAUCCCCUGUCUUUGCCUGUCAAUAAUGAUGGCUGUCAACUGCCUGGUUCAUGUCUUAGUGCUUUCAUUAUGUUCAGUGAUUUUCUUUGCUGGCGAAUUCACAUAUAUAUAUAUAACAAAACUUGUGUUAGACCACCGGGGCAAAAGAGCUCGAUCACAACCAGCGCUAUCCUGGGAGUAGAGGGGAUGAACCAAUCCAAAUCCCCAACAAUUUGAAAAAUUUCCCUUGGAAUUAUGCAUGUGUUGGAAUGUGUGAUGAAUCCCAUUCUCAUAAACGAUGAAGCACAAAAAGUUCACACCUACGGAAUCUUUAUGUAAGGAGAUAAGACUCCGUGUUGCAAGGCC
rnacentral:sRNA from 2 species